rnacentral:rRNA from 1 species
GCACGGCCAUUAACUUAAAUAGAAAUAUACUAACUAUUCGCCAGAAUACUACAAGCAAAAUGCUUAAAACUCAAAGGACUUGGCGGUGCCCCAUACCAUCCUAGAGGAGCCUGUCCUGUAAUCGAUAUUCCACGUUAAACCUCACCAUCUUUGGCCACUCCAGCCUAUAUACCGCCGUCGCCAGCCUACCCUAUGAAGGCCUCAUAGUAGACAAAACUGCUCCACACAAGAACGUCAGGUCAAGGUGUAGCUUAUAAGAUGGAAGAUGAUGGGCUACAUUUUCUAAGCUAGAAAAUACGAAUAAUACAAUGAAACUUUGUAUUAGAAGGUGGAUUUAGCAGUAAAAUAACAAGAAAAAUUAUUUUAAAUAAGCUCUGGGACGCGC